GUAGUCCACGCCGUAAACUAUGGAUACUAGCUGUUGGAGGUAUCGACCCCUUCAGUAGCGAAGCUAACGCGUUAAGUAUCCCGCCUGUGGAGUACGGUCGCAAGACUAAAACAUAAAGGAAUUGACGGGGAUCAGCACAAGCGGUGGAUCGUGUUCUUUAAUUCGAUGCUAAACGAAGAACCUUACCAGGGUUUGACAUCCCAAGAAUUUUGUCGAAAGACGAGAGUGCUUUAUUGAACUUGGUGACAGGUGUUGCAUGGCCGUCGUCAGCUCGUGUCGUGAGAUGUUUGGUUAAGUCCAUCAACGAGCGCAACCCUUGUGAAUAGUUGUAUUUUUCUAUUCAGACUGCUCUAGUAAUAGGGA
rnacentral:rRNA from 1 species